AACCUUAUGGACCUGCGGGCGUAUACCUGCGGAGGGAUCAUUACAAGUGACCCCGGUCUAACCACCGGGAUGUUCAUAACCCUUUGUUGUCCGACUCUGUUGCCUCCGGGGCGACCCUGCCUUCGGGCGGGGGCUCCGGGUGGACACUUCAAACUCUUGCGUAACUUUGCAGUCUGAGUGAACUUAAUUAAUAAAUUAAAACUUUUAACAACGGAUCU
rnacentral:misc_RNA from 1 species